GUGGGUAUAGCUCAGUGGUAGAGCACUUGCUUAGCAUGCACAAGGUCCUAGGUUCAAUCCCCAGUACCUCUA
rnacentral:tRNA from 1 species